rnacentral:lncRNA from 1 species
GGAUUAGAAUGAGAGAAUUUAAGAAUUCAUCAUUUUUUUAAAAUUGAAUGUUUUGAAUCGUUGUGUAAUUCUGACAUAAGAUUGUAGAGACUCAAAAAUGUAUAGUAUACAUAUUUACAAGAGAGUUGUCUCAUUGCACUUAUACCACAUCUUCUUAUAUCUAUUUUCCUGAAAUGUAAGGUCACCAUCAACAGCCAAGUAAAGCUUAAAUGAUUCACGCCAUUAUUCCGACAUCCCAUUAGUCCGACAGCUCAUUAGUCCGACAGCCCAUGUGUCCGACAACCCAUUAGUCCGACA